AUUGAACGCUGGCGGCAGGCCUAACACAUGCAAGUCGAACGAGUGGCGGAGGGGUGAGUAAUGGAUGGGAAACUGCCUGACGGAGGGGGAUAACUAGUGGAAACGGUAGCUAAUACCGCAUACCAUCAGAUGUGGCCAGGUGGGAGUAGCUAGUUGGUGGGGUAACGGCUCACCAAGGCGACGAUCCCUAGCUGGUCUGAGAGGAUGAGCGGCCACACUGGGACUGAGACACGGCCCAGACUCCUACGGGAGGCAGCAGUGGGGAAUAUUGCGCAAUGGGCGAAAGCCUGAUGCAGCCAUGCCGCGUGUAUGAAGAAGGCCUUCGGGUUGUAAAGUACUUUCAUCGGGGAGGCGUUACCCGCCCAGGAAGCACCGGCUAACUCCGUGCCAGCAGCCGCGGUAAUAC
rnacentral:rRNA from 1 species